UCUUGAUCUGGCAGCCCUGCGAGCUACAACCUACAAGUUACAACUUGGGUCAGAAUUUUGGAGCUCAAAGAAAAUUUUCUGCUGGAGCAUGUACACAUAAUAUGAAGUGCCAAGCUCCACAAUUGGAGACUCCCACAGAAACCAGGCCUCAUCCAGACCGUAAACUAUGUCGUGUGAAAAACCAUCCAAUCUCCUGGUCCGACUAAUUGCUUUUAAUGAUACAUAAGCAUAUUCAGCCAGUAGUGGUCCUUUAGCGCCUACAAACAAACCAAUUUCCUAAUGCGAAGUUGCGCCAGAAUGUAGCUACUUUAGCAGGUAAGAAGAAAGCAAGAAAGAUAAAAAAAAAAAACUAUUAGACACAAUAUACAGGAAUAUUUAGAUACAAGUCAAGUGCACUGGCCCCCACACUAGGAUUCCCUGUGUUGUGGGCAGCCAUUCUUUUUCUUUUCACAUGAAAACAGUAUUUUACUUAAUAAUUUCUACAGAAGAAUUAUUUAAACUAUUUUUGUACAAUAAGAAUAUUUCCUUAUCUUCGUUAAUAGUAAUUCAUAGGAAUAUAGAAAAUAAUAUACCUUUUCUUAGAUGUUUUGAUUCUUAAUAAGGUCACGAUCAAUUUGGUUGUUCAAUUACAUUGAAAUACCAAUAACAAGUACAACUUACAUUAAAUAUAAAUAUUAUCAAAAUCUAUUUUAAAAGCUAUAUUAGAUUUUUAAAUUUUUAGGUGACCAAGAGAUAGUGAUUUAAAAUCAGUAUUGCUAUUUAUACUAUGGAUAUUAUAAUUAGCUAUUUAAAAGUAACUAGUGUGCUUUUGUCAGCUGUGCCUAGUCAAUGUAAUUUUUUAGCAAGCAACAAUUUAAUCACACUUAUCUAAUGAAAUAAUAAUAGUAAAAAUAUUAAUUUCACAAUCCUUUGUCAAUACAGAUGUAUUAAAUAAAAUGAUAUGGGCCAGCUACAAAAGAGCUAAGCGCUUUCAAAGCCCUCUUAGCAUAGCAGAAAGUGCCAUACAAGCGACCACCACCAUUUAGCGGCUUGGAAGUUGACUUACCACACUUAUACAACCUAGUGCAGCACGUGGGUGGCCUGAAGAAAA